UAUAAGUUAGAAAAGAGGGUUAGUCACUGGCUUCAUAUCAAGGAGGAUCCGCUCAUCCGCUCUCACACCUGUGCACUUUCUGUAGGUCGGUUCGGGAUCCGGUCCCUCGCGGGGUCGGGUUCUGCGCCUUCCUAUGUACAAUCACAAACGCUUCAGUAUUCUCAAUGUCCUCACGAUAAUUAAAACGCAUCUUAUACAACUUUCACCAACUGAUCUCUUGGAUCUCGCGUCUAUGAAAAACGCAACGAAAUGCGAUAAGUGAUGUGAAUUGCGUAAUUCGCUGAAUCAUCUAAUCUUUGAACGCUCCUUGCGCUCCUUGGUAUUCCUAGGAGCAUGACUGUUUGAGUGGCAUGAAAUUCUCGACCCUCACAUCCUUGUGAUGUGGACGGGCUUGAACUUUGGAGGUUUCUGACGGCCCCCCAUUCCGGUCGGCUCCUCUGGAAUGCAUUAACUCCAUCCCUUGCGGAUCGGCUCUCGGUGUGAUAAUUGUCUACACCGUGGUCGUUGAAGCCUCUGAAGGGAGAGCUGAUAAUCCUCACUUCCGGACCAUCUAAUACAACUUCUGACCCCAAAUCACGUAAGACCACCCGGUGAACCUUAUCAAAUUAAUUAACCGAAGAAAGCGAAGAA
rnacentral:rRNA from 1 species